rnacentral:rRNA from 1 species
AUUGAACGCUGGCGGCAGGCUUAACACAUGCAAGUCGAGCGGAGAUGAGGUAGCUUGCUACUGAUCUUAGCGGCGGACGGGUGAGUAAUGCUUAGGAACCUGCCUAUUAGUGGGGGACAACAUUUCGAAAGGAAUGCUAAUACCGCAUACGUCCUACGGGAGAAAGCAGGGGAUCUUCGGACCUUGCGCUAAUAGAUGAGCCUAAGUCGGAUUAGCUAGUUGGUGGGGUAAAGGCCUACCAAGGCGACGAUCUGUAGCGGGUCUGAGAGGAUGAUCCGCCACACUGGGACUGAGACACGGCCCAGACUCCUACGGGAGGCAGCAGUGGGGAAUAUUGGACAAUGGGCGGAAGCCUGAUCCAGCCAUGCCGCGUGUGUGAAGAAGGCCUUAUGGUUGUAAAGCACUUUAAGCGAGGAGGAGGCUACUUUAGUUAAUACCUAGAGAUAGUGGACGUUACUCGCAGAAUAAGCACCGGCUAACUCUGUGCCAGCAGCCGCCGUAACAC